rnacentral:rRNA from 1 species
GCCUACGGGAGGCAGCAGUGGGGAAUAUUGCACAAUGGGGGAAACCCUGAUGCAGCAACGCCGCGUGAGUGAUGACGGUCUUCGGAUUGUAAAACUCUGUCUUCAGGGACGAUAAUGACGGUACCUGAGGAGGAAGCCACGGCUAACUACGUGCCAGCAGCCGCGGUAAUGAGUAU